GUAACUCUGCCGCCGGGUAGAGAAUGAAUCAGGCGUUCGAUUUUCACAUCUUUAGGCCUUAGUAGAUGUGGAUAGUCGGACGCUUUUUUAU
rnacentral:ncRNA from 1 species